UUCACCAUGUACACACAUGCGCAAAGUCAACUUUCGAAUACACAUCCUAAUUGGAAUUUUGUACAUCAGGAGUUUGUAAACAUUGACCAAUAAGACAAUGAUUUAAAACAUAAUGAAAUAUUGGCAAGCUAAAAAGGUAAGACCAGUUCGAGUCUAUGGACAUUUCAUGCUUUUCUUAAUCCCACUGACUUCAUUAUUUUUUAUACAUCCGCAAAAAAAAAAAAAAAAAAUAUGGUUGUAUAUUGGUAUCACAUCGUCCGAAGACGGAUUGUUUUCGAAUUAUAACUUUUGUAUUUAUAUAAGUAAAAAGAAAUCAAAAAAUUUUAACACAAUGUUUAUAACCACAAAAGAGGGGUUAAAUAUCUAUUUUUUGUAUGUUAAAUUAACUCACAUAAACUCUUGUAAUAUGAUAGGGGGUUAGGGGGGAUAUUUGUAACAUAACAUUAUGUUGAAUAACAACAUAAAAAGAAAUUUGUCUAAAUAUAUGUAAAAUUAAUUCCUAACUUUUGUCUCAUUUAGGUUAAUACAUUGUACGUGUACAAAGUGAUGGUUACAUUACCUUAGAUGAAUAUGGAUUUUUCUGGUUAUUUUGAUAUAUGUGGU
rnacentral:lncRNA from 1 species